UCCCUACAUAUUUCAAAUCUUUUAAGUUAAUAACAAGAUAAUGAAAAAUAUCAACAUGAUGUGAUCUAUCCCUUGAAAAUCACAUACAUCAUGGAGAGCUUCCAUUGCAGACAUUAAGGGUGUGUGUGGUUGGAGGGAAUGCAAGUGUAUUCUCAGAAAUUUUGAGAUGGGAAUAUCUUAUUCCCAUGUUUGGUUCAAGAUUUAAAAAAUUAUUCUUGGGUAUGUUUUAUUCCCUGGAAUUAAAAUCCCACUCAUUUCAUUCCCAUCUUCCCCCUGAUUAUCUUUAAUUCCAAUGGGAAUAGAAUGUGUAUAAUAAAGUGAAAAGACCAAAAUACUCUUGUUAAUUUCACUCCAACCCUUCUUUUCAGAUUUUUCCCAAUUCAUUUCAAACAAAACUAAACCCUAGCAGAAACCCUCCUCCAUGAAAACAACUCCCUAGCGAGGCUUUUCUUCAAAUUCACGGAGGCUCCAUCGGCGUCGGCGCCGCCUCGCCGCCGAUUUCAAUUUGCACGACCACUGCGAUCCUUAUUCUAGAAGAAAAUCAUUCGCGUUUGUGUCAUCAUCACAGCUCACCUCGGUUCACCGCUACUGCAUUUUCGCCGCCAUCGUCGCGACUCUGUUUGGAUCCUUUGCGUUGUGUGGUCGCGUCUGGCCUCUCUCCUCUGUUUGAGAUCCAUUGCUCAUGCGUCUCUGCCUCCGCGUCUGUUCGAGUUGCGCUUACUGUUCGUGUCAUCUCCAUCCUCGCGUCUGUUCGAUUUGUGCAACCUUGUUCAUCUUUUUCAAGCACAGAAUCUUCUUCUUCAGAUUGCUCAAUCUUCCUCAUCUCCACUGGGUUUGCUGCUCUGCUGCCUCCUCUGUUUAAGGCUUCAUCUUUCCUGCCCCCAAAUGAACAAAAGUAAAAGCACUUUUACAGCACCAAAUUGAUUUGAUCCAUGGCGCAACUAGGACAUCAUGUGGGAUACAUAUAUACUCUGUCUCAGGUCCAAACUCUUCGAACCAAAAUACCUUCGGCCUAAGUUUGUGCAUUCCAAAAGCCUAAAACCUUAUGCUGGAUUGCUGGAUGGGCAAUGUGGGCUAAGGGCAACAGGUUCAAUCAUUCUAUGGAGCAAGUGAGAAAGAGCCAAAUACAAAUGCUAUGUGCCUCUGGCAUAUUAUCUAUAUGUCCACUACUUCAGGAAUGACGGCUUUGCCCAGACAAAUCUAUUGCAUCUCAUCUCUCCAAAUCUGCAAGGACAGCAAUUAUACACAUAGCUUCAAUAAUGGAUCCCAAACAGAAGAUGAGAGUUAUUGCCUGCUUGAUUUUUCUAUGUAUGAGGUUGUCUAUUGUAACAUUGAUUUCAUUUUAUUGAUGUCUGUUCUUGUACAAGAGUUGUGCAUGUAAAUUUUAACUUUUGAGAUUUCUUUGUAACUUUAAUUUGGAUAAGAGUAAAGCUUUUUAAUACAUAGGUGGUUAGAACAGUUGAGAUUUGUUUUAUAUAAGUUCAAUUAUUGAUUA